UACGAAGGGUGCAAGCGUUACUCGGAAUUACUGGGCGUAAAGCGUGCGUAGGCGGUUUGUUAAGUCCGCUGUGAAAGCCCUGGGCUCAACCUGGGAAUUGCAGUGGAUACUGGCAAGCUAGAGUGCGGUAGAGGAUGGUGGAAUUCCUGGUGUAGCGGUGAAAUGCGCAGAUAUCAGGAAGAACACCCGUGGCGAAGGCGGCUCUCUGGGCAUGAUCUGACGCUGAGGAGCGAAAAGUGUGGGGAGCGAACAGG
rnacentral:rRNA from 1 species